UACGUAGGUGGCAAGCGUUGUCCGGAUUUACUGGGCGUAAAGAGCGCGCAGGCGGUCGUUCAAGUCGCGUGUGAAAGCCCCCAGCUCAACUGGGGAGGGUCACGCGAUACUGAUCGACUGGAAGGCAGGAGAGGGUAGUGGAAUUCCCGGUGUAGUGGUGAAAUGCGUAGAUAUCGGGAGGAACACCAGUGGCGAAGGCGACUACCUGGCCUGUUCUUGACGCUGAGGCGCGAAAGCUAGGGGAGCAAACGGG
rnacentral:rRNA from 1 species